UGCCUUCGCGGGCAAGCCUCGCUCCUACAGGUAUCGUGUGAACCUGUAGGAGCGAGGCUUGCCCGCGAACACC
rnacentral:antisense_RNA from 1 species